rnacentral:rRNA from 1 species
CAGUAGCCGCGGGAAUACGUAGGGUGCAAGCGUUAAUCGGAAUUACUGGGCGUAAAGCGUGCGCAGGCGGUUCGGAAAGAAAGAUGUGAAAUCCCAGGGCUCAACCUUGGAACUGCAUUUUUAACUACCGGACUAGAGUAUGUCAGAGGGAGGUGGAAUUCCACGUGUAGCAGUGAAAUGCGUAGGUAUGUGGAGGAACACCGAUGGCGAAGGCAGCCUCCUGGGAUAAUACUGACGCUCAUGCACGAAAGCGUGGGGAGCAAACAGGAUUAGAUACCCGAGUAGUCCCUGUCUCUUAUAC